rnacentral:rRNA from 1 species
UGGGGAAUAUUGCGCAAUGGGCGAAAGCCUGACGCAGCAACACCGUGUGGGCGAUGAAGGCCUUAGGGUUGUAAAGCUCUGUCAAAUGGGAAGAAUUAUGACGGUACCAUUAGAGGAAGCCCCGGCUAACUUCGUGCCAGCAGCCGCGGUAAUACGAGGGGGGCAAGCGUUGUCCGGAUUUAUUGGGCGUAAAGAGUUCGUAGGCUGGUUGGUCAGUCGAAAUUGAAAUCCCACGGCUUAACCGUGGUUCCGGUUUCGAUACUGCCAAUCUUGAGUGAGGUAGAGGUAAGCGGAAUUCCUGGUGUAGCGGUGAAAUGCGUAGAUAUCGGGAGGAACAUCGACGGCGAAGGCAGCUUUCUGGGCCAAUACUGACGCUGAGGUACGAAAGCGUGGGUAGCGAACAGG